AUGAACGCUAGCUACAGGCUUAACACAUGCAAGUCGAGGGGCAGCAUGAACUUAGCUUGCUAAGUUUGAUGGCGACCGGCGCACGGGUGAGUAACACGUAUCCAACCUGCCGAUGACUCGGGGAUAGCCUUUCGAAAGAAAGAUUAAUACCCGAUGGCAUAGUUCUUCCGCAUGGUAGAACUAUUAAAGAAUUUCGGUCAUCGAUGGGGAUGCGUUCCAUUAGGUUGUUGGCGGGGUAACGGCCCACCAAGCCUUCGAUGGAUAGGGGUUCUGAGAGGAAGGUCCCCCACAUUGGAACUGAGACACGGUCCAAACUCCUACGGGAGGCAGCAGUGAGGAAUAUUGGUCAAUGGACGAGAGUCUGAACCAGCCAAGUAGCGUGAAGGAUGACUGCCCUAUGGGUUGUAAACUUCUUUUAUACGGGAAUAAAGUGAGGCACGUGUGCCUUUUUGUAUGUACCGUAUGAAUAAGGAUCGGCUAACUCCGUGCCAGCAGCCGCGGUAAUACGGAGGAUCCGAGCGUUAUCCGGAUUUAUUGGGUUUAAAGGGAGCGUAGGCGGACGCUUAAGUCAGUUGUGAAAGUUUGCGGCUCAACCGUAAAAUUGCAGUUGAUACUGGGUGUCUUGAGUACAGUAGAGGCAGGCGGAAUUCGUGGUGUAGCGGUGAAAUGCUUAGAUAUCACGAAGAACUCCGAUUGCGAAGGCAGCCUGCUGGACUGUAACUGACGCUGAUGCUCGAAAGUGUGGGUAUCAAACAGGAUUAGAUACCCUGGUAGUCCACACAGUAAACGAUGAAUACUCGCUGUUUGCGAUAUACAGUAAGCGGCCAAGCGAAAGCGUUAAGUAUUCCACCUGGGGAGUACGCCGGCAACGGUGAAACUCAAAGGAAUUGACGGGGGCCCGCACAAGCGGUGGAGCAUGUGGUUUAAUUCGAAGCAACGCGAAGAACCUUACCAAAUCUUGACAUCCUCUGACCCCUCUAGAGAUAGAGUUUUCCCCUUCGGGGGACAGAGUGACAGGUGGUGCAUGGUUGUCGUCAGCUCGUGUCGUGAGAUGUUGGGUUAAGUCCCGCAACGAGCGCAACCCUUAAGCUUAGUUGCCAUCAUUAAGUUGGGCACUCUAAGUUGACUGCCGGUGACAAACCGGAGGAAGGUGGGGAUGACGUCAAAUCAUCAUGCCCCUUAUGACUUGGGCUACACACGUGCUACAAUGGCGUAAACAAAGGGAAGCAAAGCUGUGAAGCCGAGCAAAUCUCAAAAAUAACGUCUCAGUUCGGACUGUAGUCUGCAACCCGACUACACGAAGCUGGAAUCGCUAGUAAUCGCAGAUCAGAAUGCUGCGGUGAAUACGUUCCCGGGUCUUGUACACACCGCCCGUCACACCAUGGGAGUUGGGAAUGCCCGAAGCCAGUGACCUAACCGAAAGGAAGGAGCUGUCGAAGGCAGGCUCGAUAACUGGGGUG
rnacentral:rRNA from 1 species